UGCAAGUCGAACGGGGAAAGCUUUCGGGUGAGUACUAGUGGCGCACGGGUGAGGAACGCGUGGAUAAUCUGCCUUAGAGUGGGGGAUAACUAGUCGAAAGAUUAGCUAAUACCGCAUAAGACCACAGGAGCUGCGGCUCAAGGGGUCAAAGGUUUUUCGCUCUAAGAUGAGUCCGCGUAAGAUUAGCUAGUUGGUGAGGUAACGGCUCACCAAGGCGACGAUCUUUAACUGGUCUGAGAGGAUGAUCAGUCACACUGGAACUGAGACACGGUCCAGACUCCUACGGGAGGCAGCAGUAGGGAAUAUUGCACAAUGGAGGAAACUCUGAUGCAGCGACGCCGCGUGAGUGAUGAAGGCCUUCGGGUCGUAAAGCUCUGUCGCAGGGGAAUAACACAAUGAAUGUACCCUGUAAGAAAGGAUCGGCUAACUUCGUGCCAGCAGCCGCGGUAAGACGAGGGAUCCUAGCGUUGUUCGGAAUUAUUGGGCGUAAAGCGGAUGUAGGUGGCUUUGUAAGUCAGAUGUGAAAGCCCAGGGCUCAACCCUGGAAGUGCAUUUGAUACUGCGAAGCUUGAGUGUCGGAGAGGUUACUAGAAUUGUUGGUGUAGUGGUGAAAUACGUAGAUAUCAACAGGAAUACCGGAGGCGAAGGCGGGUAACUGGCCGAACACUGACACUGAGAUCCGAAAGCGUGGGGAUCAAACAGGAUUAGAUACCCUGGUAGUCCACGCCGUAAACGAUGGAUACUUGUUGUUGGAGGUAUUGACCCCUUCAGUGACGAAGCUAACGCGUUAAGUAUCCCGCCUGGGGAGUACGGUCGCAAGAUUAAAACUCAAAGAAAUUGACGGGGGCCCGCACAAGCGGUGGAGCAUGUGGAUUUAAUUCGAUGCA
rnacentral:rRNA from 1 species